UGGGGAAGCGAUCUCCCCUUCAGGCGACAUGCCCAAGCAUCGC
rnacentral:ncRNA from 1 species